GAUGAACGCUGGCGGCGUGCUUAACACAUGCAAGUCGAACGGAAAGGCCUGCUUUUCCUUCUGGCUUGCGGGUACUCGAGUGGGGAACGGGCGAGUAACACGUGAGUGUUCUGCCCCCAACUUGGGUAUAAGCCAGGGAAACAGGGCCUAAUUCCCGAUAGGACUGCAGGGUGGUGCCUGUGGUGGUAAACGUUUUUUUAGUGGUUGGGGGUGGGCCCGCGGCCUAUCAGAUGGUGGGAGGGGUAAUGGCCUACCAAGACGGCCACGGGUAGCCGGCCGGGGAGGGUGGACGGCCACAUUGGGACUGAGAGACGGCCCAGACUCGUGCGGGAGGCAGGAGUAGUGAAGAAUGCAGAAUGGACGGAAGCCUGAGGCAGCGCCGGCGUGAAGAAGAUGUCAGGCUUCUAGAUGUAUACUCCUUGCGACGAAGAGGAAGCCACUUAGUUGGAAACGUGUUGACGGUAGUGGUAGAAGAAGCACCGGCUAACUACGUG
rnacentral:rRNA from 1 species